AUUGAACGCUGGCGGCAGGCCUAACACAUGCAAGUCGAGCGAGCGGCGGACGGGUGAGUAAUGUAUGGGAAUCUGCCCGAUAGAGGGGGAUAACUACUGGAAACGGUAGCUAAUACCGCAUACUAUCGGAUGAACCCAUAUGGGAUUAGCUAGUAGGUGGGGUAAAGGCUCACCUAGGCGACGAUCCCUAGCUGGUCUGAGAGGAUGAUCAGCCACACUGGAACUGAGACACGGUCCAGACUCCUCCGGGAGGCAGCAGUGGGGAAUAUUGCACAAUGGGCGCAAGCCUGAUGCAGCCAUGCCGCGUGUAUGAAGAAGGCCUUCGGGUUGUAAAGUACUUUCAGCGGGGAGGCGUUACCCGCAGAAGAAGCACCGGCUAACUCCGUGCCAGCAGCCGCGGUAAUUC
rnacentral:rRNA from 1 species